UAUUAUACUAAAAAAUUAAUAAAAACUAAAAUAUUAUAAGAUAAGAUCUUUAAAUUUAAAGAAUUUGGCGGUAAUUUAGUCUUUCCAGAGGAACCUGUUUUGUAAUCGAUAAACCACGAAGAAUCUUACUUAUUUAUGUUUAAAUUAUAAGCUUGUAUACCGUCAUUAUUAGAUAAUGUUUAGAGAAAAUUAUUGAAUUUUAAAUAAUAAAAUAAAUUAGAUCAAGGUGCAGCCUAUAAAUAAGUUAAAAUGGGUUACAAUUAAGUUAAUAUAAUAUGAAAUAAAUUUUGAAAUAAAUUUAGGAAGGAGGAUUUGGUUGUAAUGGGAAUUAAUAAGAUAAAAAGAUAUAAGCUCUAAAUUAU
rnacentral:rRNA from 1 species